UACGUAGGUGGCAAGCGUUGUCCGGAUUUACUGGGCGUAAAGGGCGUGCAGGCGGUCUGUUAAGUCUAGGGUGAAAGCUCCCGGCUCAACUGGGAGAGGUCCUUGGAUACUGGCGGACUUGAGGGAGGCAGAGGAAAGUGGAAUUCCCGGUGUAGUGGUGAUAUGCGUAGAUAUCUGGAGGAACACCGGUGGCGAAGGCGGCGUCCUGGACCAACACUGACACUGAUGAGCGAAAGCCAGGGGAGCAAACGGG
rnacentral:rRNA from 1 species